UGGGGGAAUAGAUCUCUCAAGCUAUUCUGGGGAUAACAGGAUGCCAUCGCCCAGUUUUAUGGUAAAUGCUGUUCACGAGUUGCCUGUCCAUUUUUAUGGAGGUCAGAGAGCUCCGCAGACUGUAUCUCCCUUAUGAUGUCAUUGCCGGCCCCCACUGGGGCUUCCCCUGUGCUCUGGUUACCCUCCUGUGCUCCUGUGUGUCUUGCAUAGUGUGACAUGCCUGUGACACGCCUGGUUUACUUAGAGACUGGCUUCUCCUCUCCAUUCCCCACAACUUCUCUCUGCUGUUGCCUCGGAUUCUGGGACCUGCUUUCUGGACUCCAGUGCUCCCGACCCCAGGAGUUCACACCGUCUGCCUGCUCCUGAGGCUUGGGCUCUGCAUUCAGCUCAGGGCUCCAUCCAUCCUGGUUCUCCCUCUUGUGACUCAGGACUGUUCUGGGAGGGCUCAUUUGCUGCAUCUGGACACCAGCCUGGCUUGGCUGGCAACGGAAAGCASGCGUGUGUGCAGGUGUCACAGGUCAUCGGAGAGAUGCAAGAGUUUUGUGAUCCUCUGCUGUGAGCUGGGGUCCCUGUCAACCCCUCUACCUCAUCACAUCCCAUGGGUCAGGGUUACACGUGAGCUUCAGCUGGUUCUCAACUCUUCCAGGACGUGACGUGCAUGGGUUCAGGAGAGACAGCCUGGGUGCCCUCAAUCCCACCUGUUUCCUUGCAGGACUGUGCUAACCCUCUCCUUCUCUCUGGCUCCACAGUGUUCUCUCUCCCAUUUCUGACUUGAAGGCAGAGGGAAAAAGCAGAGGGCUAUAACCCUGGUCCUACUGGACAUCGCCAGGGGACAUGUGGACCUUCCAUGCCUCUGGGCUAAGCACAGAGGGAUACCCCAGCUCACAGGCAGCAAAAGGAAUGUCUGUAUGAUUGUGCACAGGAAUGUUUGGGGCUCCUCUGUUCUGCAUUGUGGAGCAGAGUGAGGCUGCUGGCCUCCCAGGGCAGCGUCCAUGUCUCUGCUACCAUAAGUGACUGGGACUGACCCAGCUUAGAGCACACACAUAUCCUCUGGGAAAUCUUCCCUCUCUAAGCUUGACACAUACCUGCAUCUGUGCAUUUCUCUAUAUUUUGGGAAUACAGUCAACUGUUCAAUAUUUCUUGUUUUUAAAUUAGAUAUUUUAAAGUGAGAAAAACAUUUGUUCAUUUUAAGUGGUUUUUUAAAAAAGAAAUGAUGCACAAAUGGGAUAACUUCAUUUCAAAAAUAAGAAUGAGCUUUGCAACAUUAUACAGUGCAGUUUCACUCUCCAAAUUAUAAAAAUUAAGACGGACCCAAAGCAGCCCAGAGCAGCACACCAGUGACGGGCUUGGCUCUGGAGGCACAGGCCGGUGCAGCACCCGUGAUUCUCCUUCCCUGGGAGCCUAUUUGAAUUUAAAUUAUGCACAACAAAUGUCACAUCUUCCCCCAUUAAUCUUGGUAACCCAGGAAUUCUGUACAUUGAAAAAGCUCUUUGUACAUCAAAGCGCCUUAAAAACGCCAGUUGCCUUAUUUUCUCAUGGGAGGAUGUCAGUGUGAUUGACAAGAUGAAUCCACCCUGGGCUUGUUCUAGGGGGAUGGGCGGCUCUGAGCAGGGUGCUCCUGAGCCCUUUGCAGGGCUCCCCUGUCCUGAGGAACCCUUGCUGUGUGCCCUGGAGCCGUCUUGGGAGACAUGCCACCAACAGAAGGAGAACCCCGCUGCUGCCCCUGUUAAGUAAAGCUCUUUCUGGCUCCAGGGGGUGCGUCACAUCUUCCAAGCCCCAAGAGCAAGUCAAGCAUGCGGCAGAGAGCUGGGGAGCACAGGCCUGGCACUGGCUCCCGCACCUACUCUGAGAAGGCAAGUCUGCCUGGUGCCCCAGAGGAGAGCCCUGUGAACACCACUGGCAGAGCUGUGCUGGGCCUCUCCCUCUGCCUGGGACUCAGGUGCAAGGUCCCCAAGGGCAGCCUCUGCUUCUCCAAAUCUGAGGACCUCUAGUGCAUUUCCAGUUUCACUGAGUUUGCUUCUUUAUCCUUGGUAAGCAGAAUGGUUGUCCUCGCUCUCUCUGCCCUAUGGAGUUAUGAGGUCAAGAGAAAAUAAAUGUAAGAGCUCUGAAAAUGGUUACA
ensembl:lncRNA